AGUGACCGCUGGCGGUAGGCCUAACACAUGCAAGUCGAACGGCAGCACAGUAAGAGCUUGCUCUUACGGGUGGCGAGUGGCGGACGGGUGAGGAAUACAUCGGAAUCUACUUUUUCGUGGGGGAUAACGUAGGGAAACUUACGCUAAUACCGCAUACGACCUACGGGUGAAAGCAGGGGAUCUUCGGACCUUGCGCGAUUGAAUGAGCCGAUGUCGGAUUAGCUAGUUGGCGGGGUAAAGGCCCACCAAGGCGACGAUCCGUAGCUGGUCUGAGAGGAUGAUCAGCCACACUGGAACUGAGACACGGUCCAGACUCCUACGGGAGGCAGCAGUGGGGAAUAUUGGACAAUGGGCGCAAGCCUGAUCCAGCCAUACCGCGUGGGUGAAGAAGGCCUUCGGGCUGUAAAGCCCUUUUGUUGGGAAAGAAAAGCAGCAGGUUAAUACCCCGCUGUUCUGACGGGACCCAAAGAAUAAGCACCGGCUAACUUCGU
rnacentral:rRNA from 1 species